CCUACGGGUGGCAGCAGUGGGGAAUAUUGGACAAUGGGGGGAACCCUGAUCCAGCCAUGCCGCGUGUGUGAAGAAGGCCCUCGGGUUGUAAAGCACUUUCAGUGAGGAAGAACGCCUGGUGGUUAAUACCCAUCAGGAAAGACAUCACUCACAGAAGAAGCACCGGCUAACUCCGUGCCAGCAGCCGCGGUAAUACGGAGGGUGCGAGCGUUAAUCGGAAUUACUGGGCGUAAAGCGCGCGUAGGUGGCUUGAUAAGCCGGUUGUGAAAGCCCCGGGCUCAACCUGGGAACGGCAUCCGGAACUGUCAAGCUAGAGUGCAGGAGAGGAAGGUAGAAUUCCCGGUGUAGCGGUGAAAUGCGUAGAGAUCGGGAGGAAUACCAGUGGCGAAGGCGGCCUUCUGGACUGACACUGACACUGAGGUGCAAAAGCGUGGGUAGCAAACAGGAUUAGAUACCCCAGUAGUC
rnacentral:rRNA from 1 species